GCGGGCUCUGCUGAGCGGGAUGUUUAUGGAAUGCCGUGUCUGCCACGUCCCAACCCACAGCACACUGAGUGCCCAGCAGCUGUAAAGGCUGCUCAUACCCCCCCCUUUAGAUUCUGAAAGGCUACUCUUAGGUCUCUUGGAGCCUUGGCCCUUCUCCAUGCUGCACAGCCCCAGCUCUCAGCCUGUCCUCAUAGGGAGAUGUUCCAUCCUUUGGAUCAUUUUUGUGGCCCUCCUCUGGAUGCACUCCAACAGCUCCACGUUUCCUGUACUGAGGAUUCCACAUCUGGAUGCAGUACUCCAGGU
rnacentral:lncRNA from 1 species